rnacentral:rRNA from 1 species
AGGGUUUGAUCAUGGCUCAGAACGUACGCUGGCGGCACGCCUAACACAUGCAAGUCGAACGAAGUAGCAAUACUUAGUGGCAGACGGGUGAGUAACAUGUAGGUAUCUACCCUUUGGCCUGGAAUAACACGAGGAAACUUGUGCUAAUACCGGAUAAGUCUUUACGGAGAAAGCUUUAUGCACCAUUGGAUGAGCCUGCACUUGAUUAGUUUGUUGGUAGGGUAAUGGCCUACCAAGACUUUGAUCAAUAGCUGAUUUGAGAGGAUGAUCAGCCACAUUGGGACUGAGACACGGCCCAAACUCCUACGGGAGGCAGCAGUGGGGAAUCUUGCACAAUGGAGGAAACUCUGAUGCAGCGAUGCCGCGUGAGUGAAGAAGGCCUUUGGGUUGUAAAGCUCUUUCGUCGGGGAAGAAAAUGACUGUACCCGAAUAAGAAGGUCCGGCUAACUUCGUGCCAGCAGCCGCGGUAAUACGAAGGGACCUAGCGUAGUUCGGAAUUACUGGGCUUAAAGAGUUCGUAGGUGGUUGAAAAAGUUGGUGGUGAAAUCCCAGAGCUUAACUCUGGAACUGCCAUCAAAACUUUUCAGCUAGAGUUUGAUAGAGGAAAGCAGAAUUUCUAGUGUAGAGGUGAAAUUCGUAGAUAUUAGAAAGAAUACCAAUUGCGAAGGCAGCUUUCUGGAUCAUUACUGACACUGAGGAACGAAAGCAUGGGUAGCGAAGAGGAUUAGAUACCCUCGUAGUCCAUGCCGUAAACGAUGUGUGUUAGACGUUGGAAAUUUAUUUUUCAGUGUCGCAGCGAAAGCGAUAAACACACCGCCUGGGGAGUACGACCGCAAGGUUAAAACUCAAUGAAUUGACGGGGACCCGCACAAGUAGUGGAGCAUGUGGUUUAAUUCGAAGAUACGCGCAGAACCUUACCAACACUUGACAUGUUCGUCGCGACUUUAAGAGAUUAAAGUUUUCGGUUCGGCCGGACGAAACACAGGUGCUGCAUGGCUGUCGUCAGCUCGUGUCGUGAGAUGUUGGGUUAAGUCCCGCAACGAGCGCAACCCUCACUUUUAGUUGCCAUCAUUAAGUUGGGCACUCUGAAAGAACUGCCAGUGAUAAGCUGGAGGAAGGUGGGGAUGACGUCAAGUCCUCAUGGCCCUUACGUGUUGGGCUACACACGUGCUACAAUGGUAUUUACAAAAGGAAGCAAAACGGCGACGUUUAGCAAAUCCUAAAAAAAUACCUCAGUUCGGAUUGCACUCUGCAACUCGAGUGCAUGAAGCUGGAAUUACUAGUAAUCGUGGAUCAGCGUGCCACGGUGAAUGCGUUCCCGGGUCUUGUACACACCGCCCGUCACACCAUGGGAGUUGGUUCUACCUUAAGGCAAGGUUUAAAACCCUUGACCACGGUAUAGUCAGCGACUGGGGUGAAGUCGUAACAAGGUAGCCGUA